AACUCAUAAUUAGAUUCUUCAGUGUGUGACUCAGCUUUGAAAUGGAAUGUACUAACCUCGGGCACCUUUUUUAUCUCUACCAAGUCCAGAUGCCUGACUGUCUAUCAACUUUCCGAGUCUUUUUACCUUUUCGCUCACCAAAACACUGGCACUUCAAGAUGGAUGCAGGCUCUUUCUCUGAGUGUACUGGCAUGAUUCUCAGCUAAGUCGGCUGCAUAAAUUCAGUGCCAAGAGGAAUUUUUUGAGGCAACAUUUACAGUGGCAGCUGAACAGCACAAACUCGGAAGCUGCAUGCAUUAAAGGAAACCCUGCUGAUGUAAGUACUUCAUUGCUGUAAUGCUGAGAAAACCACUCAGGCAGGUGUGCUCUUGCUGGGGAUAAGGGAGGCAGGCGGAAAUGGGCUUUAUACGCAAGCUCUAUCAAUUAUCGAAGGAAAAUUCUGUUCACCUGUGGUCUGUGUUCCCUAGUUUGUCUUCCAACAUUCUGUGUGUUAUGAGUGGCGGUUUGGUCACUCCACCAGGGAAAAUGUGAAGCCCUGAGGUGUUGAAAGCACAGCUUCUUAACCUCCUGACCCUCAGAUCCUCUGCAGAAUGGUCUUCCCAUACCUGGCAACUUAAUGGUACAUAACAUCGUGCUGGUUUUGAGUAGUAAAGGAGUGGAAAUAUGCCUUUGGAAAAGGGUUUAAGGCAAUUCCUUUGGGCCUGGCAGUUCUCUGUGGGAUAUAUUUAAAAAGGUAAAGGUAAAAGUUCCCUUGACAAUUUGUCCAGUCGUGUCCAACUCUAGGGGGCGGUGCUCAUCCCCGCUUCCAACCCAUAGAGCUAGUGUUUGACUGAAGACAAUUUCCGUGGUCACGUGACCAGUGCGACUAGACACGGAAUGCCGUGACCUUCCCACCAAGGUGGUCCCUAUUUAUCUACUCGCAUUUUUACAUGCUUUCGAAAUGCUAGGUUGGCGGGAGCUGGGACUAGCGACGGGAGCUCACUCCGUCACGUGGAUUUGAUCUUACAUCUGCUGGUCUUCUGACCUUGCAGCCCAGAGGCUUCAGAGGUUUAACCUGCAGCGUCACUACAUCCCUGUGUCACUUUUAUAAUGAAUUGUGUGC
rnacentral:lncRNA from 1 species